rnacentral:rRNA from 1 species
UACGUAGGGGCCUAGCGUUGUCCGGAUUUAUUGGGCGUAAAGAGCUCGUAGGCGGUUCGGCAAGUCACGUGUGAAAUCUCCACGCUUAACGUGGAGGCGCCACGUGAAACUGCCGUGACUUGAGUCCGGUAGGGGGGUGUGGAAUUCCCGGUGUAGCGGUGAAAUGCGCAGAUAUCGGGAGGAACACCAGUAGCGAAGGCGGCACCCUGGGCCGGUACUGACGCUGAGGAGCGAAAGCGUGGGGAGCAAACAGG